GCUGGACAACAUGGCGCCGGUGAGUGCUC
rnacentral:piRNA from 1 species